UUUUGGCUGUUUAAAGAAAACAGGAUUUUUCAUCCUGCUGGCACCUUUUUGGGGCUCAGAGCAUUUAUUUUGUUUCUGUGCCAUGAACUAAAAGCUAAUGUCGGCAUGGCAACAAGAGACCUUUCCAUACUUACAAAUGUACUCAUCAACCAUUGGAACAUUGCAAGGGAAUUUCAUAAUCCAGCCCACUUGGAGUGAUGAAGGUGUAAUUCUAAGACAAUCCUCCCAAUAUCCUUUUAAGAAACCCUAUUUGCUGAUGAGCAGGUAUUCAAAUUGCUGGCUAACAGCUAAUGUGGCAUGGAUUUGGUUUACCAAUGAACCAACAAGUGUGUCUGACUUUCAACAGGGCAAAAAUAAAUCUCCCAAUCCAUCCACAUUUCUCCCAACAUCAUUGUACCCCAACUCAUCAUGAGAGAAAAAAUCAUAACCUUUCAAAGGUAAAAAUAGUUGAUAAAUCUCCCCAAAUUAACCUUGGUAGGUUAAUCCUAAAGGUACAUGCUAAGUUGUAAAAAAUAUCAAAAAUAACAGAUUUUGUAUGAAUCAUUUGCAUGGAUCUCCCUCCCCCAGCUCCUCAUAGGUGUGUUUAGGUGUUUUCUUCUACUUUUGAUGAACCCACCAAGGGUCUUUAAUACCUGAAAUCACCACAAUUAACUGAUGGGUGCAGAUAAUGCAAGUUAUUAUUUCUCGGCUGCAUUUACUCAUCUUUAAAAUGGUACGAGCUUCUCAGCCUGUUAUGUAGACUUAGUAGGAUGCAGCCUCAUAAGUUGUGUGGGUUUUCACUUGUUGUCAUCACGAAUCUCUUUUUUUGCGAGGACGGAGGAAGCUUCUGUUCCCCACACAAAUCCUUAAGCUUCUACUCCACUGCACACUGCAGCUCCCACCACUUCUUCUUCCUCUUUUCUCCCAUUAUGUUCCCCAUAUUUCUUCUAUUCCUCUUGCGUCUGUCCUCCUCUUCCAUUCUCCUCUCCUGUAUACUCCUCUUGCUCCUCCUGCCUCUGCACUAGGAUGCUGUGAUGUAUUUGUUUACAGCACAACUCCUCCCCUGAUGUCAUCACAGUAUUUGGGGUUUUCCCCCUCCAUCUCCUCCUUCUUCCUCUUCACCUCCAGUAAUCACACUGAAGCCAGUGUUUUCGGCUUGCCUGCCUGUCGCCAACAAGGCAUCUCCCCUCUUUGUUGGGGCCUCUUUUUGGAGAGGGAGGCUGUGCUCCAAGUUAAUUGUGCAUUCGUUAGCAUUCACCCGCCGCAACUUAACAACUUAACUCCUUAAACUAUACAUGAAGUGGUGUGUGUGUGUUUGUUUUAUGUGCUUUUUUCUGGUUAAGGCUAAAUGCAACAGAAACACUUGCAACAAUAUCAAAUAACAAAUAACAUUUUCUGUUGAGGGAACAAGCUCUAACAGGCAGAUUCCUCAGGAAUAUGAGCUGUGCCAGCAGUGUUUAGUAAAAGAAGCAAGCCUUCAGUCAAUUGCAUAGGAAACAGAAUGUUUAGCAUGUUAGCUUGCUAAUAUCUGCUAAUUACAGGUGAGACUGACAGGCAUCGUCAAUAUUUUGCAGGUAUUUGGUCACACAGUGUCAUAAAACUUAAAGUGUUCAUUGGAGGAAAGCUGACUGUUCGACACCGGUGUAAAAUCAUCAAAACAGGAUAUUUAAUGUUUGCAAACAGGAGACAGAAUUGACACAUGAUUUCAUAAACCUAAUGGAGUCGCUGGAGGAGGAGUCAGAUGUAAUUUUAAACUUCAUGAAGUAAUAUUAGUUCUUUUAUUGACAUUUUAGAGUUGAGCAUUUUGGGACUUAGUAACUUUACUGUUUACAUUAAUACAUUAAUUUUAUUCACUGAUAACAAAAUAUCCCAAACCUACAUAACUAAUGAUUAUUUUCACAAUUAUACAAUUAUAUAUAUUUCUUAAGCAAUUAUUUUGUCAUGAAACAACCAAAUGUUGAUAGAAGUAGCUCCUUUUAGUAAAAAUAAUCACAUAAAGAUACCUAUCCCUCUCCGAUCAAGUUGUUGCUUGCAAUCUGCCACCUCACCACUAGAUGUCACUAGAUCUCACACUCUGUUCCUUUACUGUAAGAGCAUCCUCUCCAGCUAUUGCUUCGCUGCAGCCUUUUCCAGUGAUACCUGGAUGAACUGUACUCCUUUAAAUGUUUAUUUUGAUAGACAUUACAUUUGUUCUACAGAUUACAUGCAUACAUUUGUUGUAUUUCUCUUCUGGCCUUUUGCUUUUGGUCGCUGCACUGGCGUGAAAGUGGCUCUAUUGAAGACCAGGAAGUUUUCAUUGAUAAAUACACUGCAGGGGAAAUGAAUCAUUCCGGGGUCAUUUUUCACUCUCUCUGUCUGGCACAUUUAUGCUUUAUCUAAUUAGUAUGAGUGUGAGGUUUACAGAGGUCCUUCUGAGGACACCGGACGACCCCAAAGUCAUGCGCUGUGAAUCCAGAAGCACUAACCGUCCAAGGAUUGAACUAAAGGUAAUGCCUGUUAUUUACUUACUCACUCAAUAACUUUAACAAGACACAACACAGCGUCUUAGCGUACACUCAUUUUUACGCUGUGAAGGUGUGAACUGUUUUUUAAGCCGACAUGUCACAGCCGGAGAGAAAUAGUUGCAGUUAACAUACAUGAUGAUCCAGUUCCUUUUAUAGCUAGCGGGCCAGUGAGCUUUUGCAAUUGGCCUGUAUGAACACCUCCCUACUGGGUGAGGUCACAAGACUCCUUCUAUUAAUUAAAAAGGAAAUAACAGCCAGGCUGACAGACAGUGAGGGACGCGCAGUGCACUCACACCCAACUGUAAGAAAUCUGACACAGUGAGUGAAAACAUCAUUAUAGGCGUGAGUCCAAUCACUUCCUGUUGUGAACUCUUGUUGGGAUACAUCUUCUACAAACCUUUUAGCCAGGAGACAUUCAAAAGCAGAGGUGUAAGUAACCACGAGGACAACAGAUUUGUUUGAGUCCUUAAGUCCUGAAUGCGAGACAGUGAGACAUCUUGCACAAUCCAUGGAUCCUGAAACUGAAGCAGCAGAAUUCCACCAUCAUUAUUUAAUUUAUUUACACCUGUGACAUGCAAACAUAUAAUCCGUGGAUUAAGAAAAAGGCACUUUUGCUUGGUUGCGAGCUGUAGCCGUAAUAGCUACAUGCUAAUGACGUUUCAGGCAGGGUACUAGCUAUUUGCAAGAAAAGCCACAUCCCCACAGGCUACAGUUGUGUUUUAAAUGUUAUGCAUGUCCUCAGAUGUCUGCCACAUUUAUCGCAAUGCGGAACUACCGGAGGAUCAUUUAUGCUUCCCUCUUGAGGAGUACAUUGGAAAAGUUUAAUAGUUCGAUGCAUGUGUCACAUAAGGGGCCCCCAAACUGAUGGCGAGAUGGAGCAGGGACCUCCUAUUCUACGCAGUUUGGUCUGCCAGCUUUUAUUUUUGAGCUUCGCGCUCUUUAGACGUGAGCAUAAAGGCGAUCUGAUUGGCUGGUGCCUGCGCUGUCGUAUUUGUAUGAAAGGAGCAGUGAGUGAACCGGU
ensembl:lncRNA